CUUAAUUUAGCCGACUUGCUCAAACAAUAGAUAAAGUAAGAGAAAGAUUUGAUAAAAUUUAACUUACGGAGGAAAGUUUGGUUUUAAAACACUCUAAUAAAUUCAAUAGAAAUAACAUUUAUUUCAAAUGUAUUCCAUUUAGUUUCUUAUAAAGCGUAUAGGGAUCUUUAUCCUUAUUUUUUUUUAUCCAUUUCCAUGACACUUCACCACUAAUUACGUACAUCUUGAUAUAGAUUGAAUCUUUGUUUUCCCGUUUAAAAGGUUUUACACUGGAGCCAUUUAUAACUUGCUGUUCGGUGUGAGCCAAGACUCCAUGUUGAAGACCGUAUGUUUACGUAUAAUGGUCUACUUUUAUAAAUUGUGACUCGGAUGGAGAGUUGUCUCAUUGUCACAUACGACAUCUAUAUAUGGCUCAAAAACGAAACGAGACGGGAUAAAAAGGUAUAAAAAAAUCCACACUACUUUUUUAAUAUAUAUGUAUAAUGGGCUUAAUAUGAUUCAGAAUAGAGUAAAAUAGUGGGUCGCAUUUGGGUAUAAGCGUGACGCCGGAUUGCCGAUUUUUUGCAAGCGUGACAGGUGAAAGUCAAAUGAUUGUGUCGUGAAAAACGAGAAAUGAAGUCUAGCGGGACACAGGAAUCUGACAAAACAAUAAGCGGAAUACGGGAAUCUGCCAAAACAGUAAGCGGGAUCCGGGAUCAGAACCCCCCCCCCCCCCCCCAAUGAGACCCCCAGAAUAAGAUAUUUGUGUAUAUCAAUCCUAUUGUUACAGUCAUGCCUUCAAUAACAAAUGUAUCCGAUGCAUGCAUUUUUUUU
rnacentral:lncRNA from 1 species